GUAGGCCUGACUGCGGAGAACUUGCGGACGCGGGUUCGAUUCCCGCCGCCUCCACCA
rnacentral:tmRNA from 1 species